UCGGGAAUUUUGGGCAAUGGGCGAAAGCCUGAUCCAGCCAUGCCGCGUGUGUGAAGAAGGUCUUCGGAUUGUAAAGCACUUUAAGUUGGGAGGAAGGGUUGUAGAUUAAUACUCUGCAAUUUUGACGUUACCGACAGAAUAAGCACCGGCUAACUCUGUGCCAGCAGCCGCGGUAAUACAGAGGGUGCAAGCGUUAAUCGGAAUUACUGGGCGUAAAGCGCGCGUAGGUGGUUUGUUAAGUUGGAUGUGAAAUCCCCGGGCUCAACCUGGGAACUGCAUCCAAAACUGGCAAGCUAGAGUAUGGUAGAGGGUGGUGGAAUUUCCUGUGUAGCGGUGAAAUGCGUAGAUAUAGGAAGGAACACCAGUGGCGAAGGCGACCACCUGGACUGAUACUGACACUGAGGUGCGAAAGCGUGGGGAGCAAACAGGAUUAGAUACCCAUGUAGUCCCUGAGCGGGCUGGCAAGGCGCAU
rnacentral:rRNA from 1 species